rnacentral:lncRNA from 1 species
AGACUUUCUAGAGGAAAUUUCCUACAGACCAGAUGCUUUGGGCAUGUUCUAAGAUCCCCUUCUAACACCCACACCAGGACUAACGUAGAAGACCUCUGAGGCAGCCUCAUUGCACAUCAUAACUAUGAAUGACUAUGGUCUCAGCUAAGUGCCUGGUGAGAGGACAUGUUUUUCUUUGUGAAGAAAGAGCUGUGACAUUCAGAUCACACCACUGGUGAACCAAACAGGCUUCAAAUCUGGGAGUAUCCUCGUUUUAAAGAAUCCA